CAGGCUUAACACAUGCAAGUCGAGGGGUAUAGUUCUUCGGAACUAGAGACCGGCGCACGGGUGCGUAACGCGUAUGCAAUCUACCUUUUACAGAGGGAUAGCCCAGAGAAAUUUGGAUUAAUACCUCAUAGUAUAGCAGUUUCGCAUGAAACCACUAUUAAAGUCACAACGGUAAAAGAUGAGCAUGCGUCCCAUUAGCUAGUUGGUAAGGUAACGGCUUACCAAGGCUACGAUGGGUAGGGGUCCUGAGAGGGAGAUCCCCCACACUGGUACUGAGACACGGACCAGACUCCUACGGGAGGCAGCAGUGAGGAAUAUUGGACAAUGGGCGCAAGCCUGAUCCAGCCAUGCCGCGUGCAGGAUGACGGUCCUAUGGAUUGUAAACUGCUUUUAUACAGGAAGAAACCCUGGUUCGUGAACCAGCUUGACGGUACUGUAAGAAUAAGGAUCGGCUAACUCCGUGCCAGCAGCCGCGGUAAUACGGAGGAUCCAAGCGUUAUCCGGAAUCAUUGGGUUUAAAGGGUCCGUAGGCGGUUUAAUAAGUCAGUGGUGAAAGCCCAUCGCUCAACGGUGGAACGGCCAUUGAUACUGUUAAACUUGAAUUAUUAGGAAGUAACUAGAAUAUGUAGUGUAGCGGUGAAAUGCUUAGAGAUUACAUGGAAUACCAAUUGCGAAGGCAGGUUACUACUAAUGGAUUGACGCUGAUGGACGAAAGCGUGGGUAGCGAACAGGAUUAGAUACCCUGGUAGUCCACGCCGUAAACGAUGGAUACUAGCUGUU
rnacentral:rRNA from 1 species